UACGGGGGGAGCAAGCGUUGUUCGGAUUUACUGGGCGUAAAGGGCGCGUAGGCGGUCAGUGCAAGUCAGUUGUGAAAUCUCCGGGCUUAACUCGGAAAGGUCAACUGAUACUGCUCGACUAGAGUGCGGAAGGGGCAACUGGAAUUCUUGGUGUAGCGGUGAAAUGCGUAGAUAUCAUGAGGAACACCUGCGGCGAAGGCGGGUUGCUGGGCCGACACUGACGCUGAUGCGCGAAAGCUAGGGGAGCGAACGGG
rnacentral:rRNA from 1 species